rnacentral:misc_RNA from 2 species
AACGCACCUUGCGCUCCUUGGUAUUCCGAGGAGCAUGCCUGUUUGAGUGUCAUGAAAUUCUCAACCCAUAAGUCCUUGUGAUCUAUGGGCUUGGAUUUGGAGGCUUGCUGGCCCUAGCGGUCGGCUCCUCUUGAAUGCAUUAGCUUGAUUCCGUGCGGAUCGGCUCUCAGUGUGAUAAUUGUCUACGCUGUGACCGUGAAGCGUUUUGGCAAGCUUCUAACCGUCCAUUAGGACAAUCUUUCAACAUCUGACCUCAAAUCAGGUAGGACUACCCGCUGAACUUAA